rnacentral:ncRNA from 2 species
CUCUUAUUUCGAGUAGGCGGAGGGAUUUGGCCCGACGAUGCCCAGCAACCGACCGUAAUACCAUUGUGAAAUGGGGCGUAUUGUAUACGCCUGAGCUUAAAUGCUCAGUAAGGCACGGUGCUAAUUCCAACAGAAAAGAAAUUUUCUGGUAGAUAAGAG